AGUGAACGCUGGCGGUAGGCCUAACACAUGCAAGUCGAACGGCAGCACAGUAAGAGCCUGCUCUUACGGGUGGCGAGUGGCGGACGGGUGAGGAAUACAUCGGAAUCUACUUUUUCGUGGGGGAUAACGUAGGGAAACUUACGCUAAUACCGCAUACGACCUACGGGUGAAAGCAGGGGAUCUUCGGACCUUGCGCGAUUGAAUGAGCCGAUGUCGGAUUAGCUAGUUGGCGGGGUAAAGGCCCACCAAGGCGACGAUCCGUAGCUGGUCUGAGAGGAUGAUCAGCCACACUGGAACUGAGACACGGUCCAGACUCCUACGGGAGGCAGCAGUGGGGAAUAUUGGACAAUGGGCGCAAGCCUGAUCCAGCCAUACCGCGUGGGUGAAGAAGGCCUGCGGGUUGUAAAGCCCUUUUGUUGGGAAAGAAAAGCAGCAGGUUAAUACCCCGCUGUUCUGACGGUACCCAAAGAAUAAGCACCGGCUAACUUCGU
rnacentral:rRNA from 1 species